rnacentral:rRNA from 1 species
CUACGGGAGGCUGCAGUGGGGAAUAUUGGACAAUGGGCGAAAGCCUGAUCCAGCCAUGCCGCGUGUGUGAAGAAGGCCUUCGGGUUGUAAAGCACUUUCAGUGGGGAAGAAAGCCUUGGGGCUAAUACCCUCGAGGAAGGACAUCACCCACAGAAGAAGCACCGGCUAACUCCGUGCCAGCAGCCGCGGUAAUACGGAGGGUGCGAGCGUUAAUCGGAAUUACUGGGCGUAAAGCGCGCGUAGGCGGUCUGAUAAGCCGGUUGUGAAAGCCCCGGGCUCAACCUGGGAACGGCAUCCGGAACUGUCAGGCUAGAGUGCAGGAGAGGAAGGUAGAAUUCCCGGUGUAGCGGUGAAAUGCGUAGAGAUCGGGAGGAAUACCAGUGGCGAAGGCGGUCUUCUGGACUGACACUGACGCUGAGGUGCGAAAGCGUGGGUAGCAAACAGGAUUAGAUACCCGUGUAGUC